CCGAAUGGAGGAGAGGACCGAAAAAAGCUCAUAAUCUGCAGAGGACCGAAGAAAGCAAUUAGGAACUGUUGCCAAUCCGAAAGCCAGGCCCAACGCAGGAGCAAAGCAUUGGCGAACUUGUCCAAAUCCAAGAUCUCCAAACCUCCGAACUACCUUAGACAGAAAUCCUACGCCAGCUGACCAAACAGCUAGCUCCCGGGCAAGCCAAGUCGCCCUUCCAGAGCCAGCCCCUUUUGCAUUUUUCGAUACGGUUCCCGACCCAAGUAGGCAAACUGAGCGUGGACAGGUGCAAAAUUGGGAUGGCUGAGAUUGCAAUCGCAGGAUAGUGAUGAAAACCCCUUUGCUAAGCAUUUUUUACUUCUAUCCAGCCAGACGACACUCAACUUAUCAAGCAGCAGUUUGAAAAAAACCUUGGGAGGCUUUUUCUGCGAGAGCGGCAGCCCCAGUUCCCAAAUAAGUAAAUUACAGAAAAUCACCACAUUAGUGGCCAGGAUUUCACAUACGUACCGAUCUACGUUUUAGUUACUAAAAACCACUAGAUUUCGUUAACCUCCCACUCACCAGCGAAGAAGCCAAAAAUUAAGAGUGAUGGCCCAGGCCAACGUGUCUUCCAGCUAGGCUUGCCAAGGUGGCCAGUAGCCCGCGCCCCCGCUCCCAAAUAAUGUCGCCGCCUUUGACCUCCAUCUAUUUCGGCGAUCCCGCAGCUCAAACCUUUUUGGUGCUCAUCUUCCUCGCCUUCACGGCCGGCGUGGCCGACGGGAAGAGCCCGAGCAAAUCAGAGGCAGAGGAGGAGGAGCAAUAGGAACAUCAUCGCAGGCUCGCCCGCCGGAUCUACAGCAGCAGUGGACGAGGAGAAGGGCGGCGUCCCACUGUGCGCGUGGACGACAUCAAUUGCGGGGGCGGGGAGGCGCAUGGAGACGAGGAGGAGGACGGUAUCCCCCUGGACCACCAGCAGCGUUGCGCCCUGCUCCUGGAUGGCAUGCACCGAGGAGAAAGUAGCUGCUGCUAUCCACUGUGAAAGAUCGAGUACGUCACAGAGGGGGGGUGAAUGUGACCAGUUUUAAUUCUUUCUUUGAAAUAUGAAAGACUGAAUACAGUCACAGUACUUCAACAACAGAGAUUACACUAAGCAAUUUUUAGAGUAGCAGCGGAAAGAAGAAAGAUGAACAAGUUUAUAGCAGCAGCAAUGAAGACAAAAUACAAUGAAUCAGUUAUACUUCAACAGAGAGUAAAAGUUGAGGAACGAAAUCACCGGACUGAAGACAUAGGGAUUUGUUUUCCGAAGUUCAGAUUGUUGGCACAAUCCUACGUCUCCGUUGAGGGGGCUAGAACAAGACUCGCGGACACACAAGUCCACCCAAUCCUCCUGAGCUAAGACCUAAGUCUCGCCCAGUUAUUCGUGGUAGAUCUUGAGGUGAUCUCCGGACCUUCACAGACUGGUUGAUGGCAAAUCACAAUCUUCGAUUGCUCUUCAACGCUGACUCCUAGCCGUCUAGGUGAUGCCAAUCACCAAGAGUAACAAGCUUCAAGUGCUCGGCUAGAGAGGGGAUCCCAUUCUUCACACUCAGUUCAGCUCUAAGGGUUUUAUCAGGUGUUCUUCAAAACAACUCACUGGGGAUCACCACCAAACUUCUUCGGGGUGGGUCGUCUUAUAUAGCCUUGGACACGGCUGAUUUAGCCGUUGUGACCCGUUGGAUAAAGUGAUCCCUGAGACUCCAGCUCACACUUUAUCACUUUGUCUCACAACAGUUAGAUUAGGUGGUCAAGCACGAAAGCAACAGAUUUUCAAACACAUUUGAAAUCAGAGCGAAGACUUCAUGCGGAAGUUUCUGUGAAGCCUGACAUGCUUCAUUCUUCACUCCGACGAAAAACACUCACACAGAAAAUGGUUUUCGCCUAAGCUGAACAUGAAGAAUAGGUUUCACCUGAACCAGCUCCACACUUCAAACCCCCCCUUAAUAGUACGGCGUUCCUAUACUCAAGUGAAGAAAAAAGCUACGGAAAGACCUAUGAAGAAUGCUACGCUUCAUGUUCUUCACCGUUCUUCACUGAGCUCUUCAUACUUCAAGCCAGUACCUGUACUUCAAUUUUAGGGGUCAUCGAUGCUGGUUAAACCAACUCUUAUGAGGAACUAAUACCUGAAACACUUCGUGUAACUCAUUAGUUCCUCAACCAUGUUGUCAUCAUUCAUCAAAACCCAUACAGGGGCAAGGUUUCCCCUUUCACACCGCCCCAGUAGCCAUCCCUUACUCCGCCCGCGGCCUUGGUGGAUUUCGCCUCGCCGUUGUUGUUGCUCCCCUCGUGCCUCGCCCCGCACCGCCGUUGGCAAUGCUUUGCCUCGCGCUGCUCGCCCAAGGCCGCUUGCCGCGCGACGCCGCUCCCGUGCCGCUCGCCCCGCACCGCCGCUCGCGCUGCUCGCCCCGCGCCGUUGGCUGCGCUCCACCCUCGCGCCGCCGCUAGUGCUGCUUGCCACUCGUUGCUCGCCCAACGCUGCUUGCCGCGCGCCGCCGCUCCUCUGACGUGCCGCCGCUCGCCGCUUGCUGCUUGCCGGAAACAGAUAGCGAGUAAUAAGAGAGAUGGAAUUUUUUUUUCGGGGAGAAGAGAGAAUGGACUGGUUUGCCAGGCUGGCAUGCCACGUUGGCCUGACCUGACCAAUGGACCCAUCUGCAGCCCUAACCUCUAAUGUGGUGGUUUUUGUAAUUUACUCUUCCCAAAUAGGUGCAUGGAAAACAAGUGAGAGGCGUCGAAGGAUCUGAAAAGAUUUCCUCCAAAUCUAGGUCGGCACAACGAAUGGGGAUGAUUGAGAUUUCUAAAUGCUGACCUGCAACCCUGUGUUUGCCCAAACAGAUUCAACAGGUCUUCUAUCAGACGGAGAAAUAUGACUCGCAACCUCAUGCCAUGCCCCGAUUGCUUGGAGAAUUGGCAAUACUUUGUAGAAAGGUCGAGCAGGUGGUUGAGUGGCUCAAUGGCUAGAUUAAAGAGGUACGGGGGAAUAGAGUCCCCUUGGCGCAACUUCUUGGCAUGCAAAAGAUUUUGUCCCUCAUCCCCAUUGCAGAUAUUGUAAGAAGCAGUGCUCCACAAGGUUGAGCUCCAUUGAAUCCAUUGGCGACCAAACCCCUCUUGCACAUAGGGAGCCCACCAAGCAAGACAUGCUUUCUGAAAGUCAAGCUUGAAAAGUAGGGUAGGAGUUUUAGACCUCUAAAAGAGGCAGGCGAGGCCUUGGACAAAAAAUAAAAUUAUCUGAUACACCUUGCUUUGAUGGAAGCGCUCUGAGCAUGAGAAAUGGGCCCCGUAUACUAGGAAUCGUUGAAACUGGAGAACGUCCCGGUAUACCGGAAUGGUGGGAGUAUUAAUCUCGGUGAGGCAAACAUGAAUACCAGUAAAAUCGUCCAGAAAAGGCUGGGAUUGCAGGUCAAAAUUCGAAUUAGCAAGACGUGGUUUUCUCCGGACGUGGUCUGCAAAUUUGAAAUUUAAAACAGACUUUUCUACUUCCUAAAUUUAUUUACUCGCUCCGAUCGGUAUUACUUGUCUCAAAUUUGCUAAAAUACAGAUGUAUCUAUGUGUAAAAAACGUCUGCGUACAUGUAGUAUUUCGACAAAUAAUUUGGGCCGAGUGAGUAAUUAAAGUUACCGUUAAGCUGCUUGCUCUGAACAAGUCCCGCGGGCUGCGCGUGGCACCGUUGCACAGAGGGCCGCUGCCCGGCCGUCGGACAGUUUCUCCGGAGCUUUCCUGGGGCCCCUGGGCUACUUGCCGGCGUAACCUAUAUCCUUUCCACCCGCUCGGGGCACUGUACGAGUUCGCUGCCACGCAGCGCCGGCCCUUCC
rnacentral:lncRNA from 1 species